CGAUUCGGUCACUCAGCAGGUCGGCCUCAUCCAUGUGAUGUGUAGACAGAAUCACGGUGCGGCCUGCACAAGGACCAAACUUUCACUAAGCUAUGAAUGAUAGUUUUACAGUUUCGAAAGUUCACUACCAAAUUAGGGAGUGUUUGUAAAAUGCCAAAAAGCAGGAGAUCCCAAAUGGACCUUCUGGAGUACGGGUCCACUCCCGAGGUGGGCUCGUCCAGAAUGACAACCUUGGAUCCUCCAACAAAUGCCA